rnacentral:lncRNA from 1 species
UAUGGAGACAAGAGAGAAACAAAUUGGAUAAGUAAGGAAGGUGGAUUAGGGUUAGGCAAGGGUUUCUGAAUUUUUUUUUUCAAUUGGGGCAACAGUAGGGAUGACAGAGAAAAUGUUGGAGUGAGAGAGAUGAAAGAGAAAGGGUUGAGAAGAAUGAGAAAGGUGAGUAAAGGUUUGAGGUUUUUUUUAGUUUUGAGAAUGAAAAUUAUUUAAAUAUCCUUGACUUUAAAACUUAGAAUCCAUGAUAAAUGAGGGUAUUUUUGUCUACUAUAAUCUGGUACACAAUGUUAAAACGUAUUAACUUAAAAAUAGGCGUACGCGUCUUAACAAACCCCUGUAUUUAUUAUUAUAUAUUUUCUUGAUUUUUUUUAUUUCUUUAUAACUAAAUACGAUUUACUUUUACUUAUUUUCAGUUAUUUUACCUAUUUUUCAUUUUCUCCAUCUGCUAUUUCUUCUUUAAACAGGAAAAUAAUUUUAGCACUUAUAAUUUUAAUUAUAGAACAUUUAUAAGAUUAAAAAAAUAAGCAACAAUACAAUACUGUAACACAGCAAUAAGAUAUCAUCUUUGUUAUCGUAGACAUGAAGAAGCAAAUAAUAUUUCGCACAGAUUAAAGAAAAAUUUAAUUACACUAAGACUUAUUAAUCAUUUAAUAUUCUUAGAGCAAAAAGUUUUCGUGACAAAUUGUCAGAAAACGUAACAUGGUAUUUAAAAGAAUAAACAAAUAAACUUCGUUCUUAUUUUCUUUUAUACCAAAAAUAUUGUUUAAUACAUUUAAACUUUUUACAUUUUAAUAAUAUUUUUAUUUAGUUUUUAUUUUCUUCUUUUUAAAAAAAUAUAAAAAAUUUAUAUUUUAUGAGAAUUCUACUUUUAUACUUUAUAUCAAAUUAAUAUAAAAACAUGUUAUUAGUAACAUUUUUUAUAGUAGAAAGAUAAUAUGACAUACAUUAAUAUUCAUUUAACAUAUUUAACAACGAUAACAAUGAUUUUAAAAAAAUGAAUUUUUGUAGUGUUUAAAAAAAAAUAUCAAAUAAAUAAAAAAAUUUAUAUAUGUUAAACUAUCAUUUUUCUUAUAAAUAACAAAAUUAAAAUAAAUUAACUCGUCAAUCUAUCCUAUAUGGUCGUACGAAGACCAGAAAAGAGAAUCAGUCACAACCACUUUCCCAUAAAUUAUUAGGUUAAAGUCCGCUUACUCCACUAAUCGCUCCCAAAAAUCUACAAUUAUUACAAAUAGACACAUCAAAAGUGACACGUGUCAACUAAUAAUGCCUUUAAUUGCGCCAUAAUUAUAAUUUUAUUUCGUAAAAGAGAGAAAACAAAAGUUCAUAUUACAUCUGAAAAUUUUUAAAAAAAUAAGGAGAAUUAUGAGUAUUUGAUUUAGUCCAUAAAGUGAUUGAAUUUUAAUUUACUUAUUUUUUAUUUUGGGGUUCGAGAAAGAAACUUGAAAACCACAUUUAUUUAUGAACACAUGUUUAUGUCUUCUCCUGUUUACAUAACAGUGGUUGUGAAUUACGUGCAUUCAUCAACCACCAAUUUCAUCUUCAAGUGGGUUACCACUACCCAAAUAUUUAAUGUUUAACGUAUAAAUAAAUAGGAAUACAUGGAUUAUUUUUAAUAAAAAAUAUUCAUCAUACACCAUUUUUUUAUGCAAGAAAAAAUAGAUGUAUAUGUUAAUUAUGAUUGAAAGCGGCAUCCAGAAUUUGUUAAUUGUGAUUUCCAACAUUCUUAAAGUUGACCUUGACAUACAUGAAAGGAACAACAAAAGUCAAACAUGAAGACAUGAUUAGCAGUGUGAUAUAAUGCCCCAGAAAAAUCCAACACCUCAAGAUGAAUUUAUAGCAUACCUAGUUAGUUAGAACACAAUAAUGAUGAAUCUAGUUGAGAAUAUAAGCACCAAGAGAAACAUAAGAACCAAAAAGUUUAUCAUGCAAAGGCAAAAUCCAAAAUUCUUGUUCGAUGUGGGAGUUCCUCUGUCAACCUUCAAGUUUUCAAAGUAUAAACUAAUUCCUGGAUCUCUCAUCCUUACCUGGCUACCGUGCAACACCGAAUUUGAGACACCUUGAACAUUGUUGUUCACGUAAAUGUUGAUGCAACAGCAAUCCUUUGGGUCAACCUUUGUGCUUCUAUGGUGAAUGUGCAUCGUGGCUCCCACGUUUUUUCCAUCAAGGUUGAUGUAUUCAAAGGAGUCAUUCUUCAACUUUGACUCCAUCGGAGAGUCAUCAGUUGUUCAAGAGUCUGAGAAUUGAUUGCUGCUGUGCUGUCGGAUGUCUUUCAUUUUUCAGUUUUCUCAAAGUUUAAGAUUGGAUCCCAAGGUUUCCUAUUGCUGAAGGAACCCAAUGUUCGACAUCCUAGAAUUACUUGAAGUACACUCUAAGUGGAAAAUAAGAAGAAUCUUAUGCAUUCCAGAAAAUUUUGUUUUGAAAAUGUUAUUUCGGAAAUUUCAGAAAUUCUAUUCAGGAGUUAAUAAUUUGGAAGUCAGUUUUACAAAGAUGAAAUGAUUAUUUUAAAAUGUUAAUAGGGUGCAAGAAGAAAUUGAUGGGGUGCAAAGAAGCAAUUGAUUAAGUCAAAUAAGGGCCGAAUGACUAGAGAGAGACCCCAUGUAUAAAUUACUACUAGUGUCAAAUCUCGAUUGAUUAGCUUUUUAAUCAUGCAGAGUGAUAAUUAAAAAAAAUUAUGGAAGUUAUUUCUUAAUAUGACAUAAUAUAGAGAAUGUAUAUUAGUUUAUGGCUAAUUAGGUCACGAUUGAAUCAUAGGGAAAUUGGUUCAAAUCUUGAACAUGGCUAUUGCUUCCUCCAUCUCACAAUUCCUAACUGCACUCCCACAAUUACAAGAAAAAUUUAACUGUAAUGUCUUGUUUACUUGAAUAGAUUUAAAAGAGAGUAAUUGAAUGGAUUUAAAAAGAUUUGAACAUAAUUUUUUUUUGUUUAUUUGAAUGGAUUUGGAGAUAAGUGAAAAUGAAUUUGGAAGUAAAUUUUUUUAAUCUGUUACAUAAAUUAAAUCAUAUACUAAUUUUUAGAAACUUUACUUCUAAAUCCAACUUCCGAAUCUACUCAAAAAAACAAUAAAAAAUCCUCUCAAAUCCACUCAAUUACUCUUUUCCAAAUCUCUUCAAGUGAACAAAAUAUAAAAAAAUGAAUAAAAAAUAUGAAAAAAAAAACUUUUUGAAAUAUAUAUCUCGGAAAGUUUUUUUCCAAAACAUAUUUAACGUAAAAAUGCCCUGAAAAAUCUCAUUCUAAAAAACUUAUUCUAGAAUACAUUCCAAAAAUUAUUUUUUGAAAAUAUUAUUCUAGAAAUUAAAAUUUUGUUUCAAAACGUAUUUGUUUGAAACAUGUAACCCGAAAAGUUACUUUCAUGGAAGAUAAAAUGGGCAUGUUGAAAUUUGACGGGUGCACGAAAAAGUAUAUGAAAGUACUGUAUUAGUAACAAAAAUUAAAAAAAAGAUAAUGAUAUGAAAACAUUUUAACAUUCUCUCAUGUCUUUAUUUAUGAUUAUCAUUAUUUAUUGUAAAAUAAUUAUUUUACCAAUCAUAUAAUGAAACGUAUAUAAUAUUAAAAUAUUUUCAAAAAAAUAUCAUCAAAAUAUCAUUAUCUGAGAAAAUUAAAAGAAGAAAAUUAAGAAAAAUUUUAGAAAAGAGAAGUGCUAUAACAUUUAGGGAGGAGAUGGAUACGAGCUUAAUUCUAAACUUGACUAAGAAAAUUGUGGAAUACAGAAAACUAGAUUAAACUCUACAGUUCUCUCUCUAAGAGUGCAAGAUCCUAGUGCCUCAUUCUACAAACUACUUCGUUGCUUUCCUGUAAUCACAGAUACUUUUAUUGUGUUACAAAGCAUGCUAACCAUGCAUGAAUUUCUCAAUUCUAAGGGUAAGAAUCAAACAAAUUUCUGCCAGUGGGGUGCUUGAUUGAUGAGGCACAAACCUCUCCUUUUUAUUUUGUUUGUUUCCGUCUCGUGGCUAUGCAUGCCCGGAAUGCAACAGUGGCAUGCAAGGUGGCAUCAAUUCCUGCUUCAACUUUUGAACUCUCUUAAAGACACCACAUUAAGAAACUAUUAACAGAUUCCAUUUGAUUUAAAAUUCUGGGAUACCACUCGAACGUGAUGAAUACUCAGUCACCAAUUUCAGAAACAUGGAAGACUUAUCCUCUAAUAAUCUUGUAGGUGUAUCAUACUCUGCAACUCGACCUGCAAAAGUAUCCAAAGGAUAAUUUCAGAAGCACACACUAAAAAACCAUAAUGCAGUUUUUAUAUAAAAAGAGAAGAAAAAGGAUACAGGUCAUGCAGAAGUACAAGACAUUAUGCUUUUAUACGCACCAUCACUUAGCACAAGAACUUGAUCACUGUCGAUCACAGUAGGUAUACGAUGUGCAAUGGUGCACACAGUGCAGGCCUUGAAUUCACUUCGGAUGAUCUUCUGAAUAAGAUUAUCUGUGGCGGUAUCAACUGAUGCUGUUGCUUCAUCCAGUACUAGUAUUCUUGACUGCUGCAGCAGUGCUCGGCCCAGAGCAACAAGUUGUCGCUGUCCUACACUCCAAUUAUCUCCAUUUUCUAGAACUGCAGAUUUCAAAGUAUUUGUUAAGUUUGCUACUUGUGACUAAACACUAUUUUUUUCUUUUUAAGGGGUGAGGAAGGAAGGAUACUGUAGCUUUUCAUUUGUCUUUUGGGCACCUACCUGGUGUAUCAAGCUGUUGUCCUUUGUCACGGAUGACCUCUCCAAGCUGAGACUUGUCAAGUGCCUGAGAAAAAUUAAAACCCAAUGGUCACUGUUAAGUAUCCUCAUAUAGAAACACAAGAAACAAGGGAAACAUUACUGUUUUCUAUAUUCAGUAAUUCUGAGUUCAUACAAUUCAGAAUAAAGAACCAAAAUCAGAGAGAAUGCAAGUCUAUCUGCCCUCCGAAAGUUCCCAGGUCCCCUCACUCCCUUUAUUCCCUCUCUCCUCUAAUGAAAAGAUACCCCCAUGAUUUCACACCUUCCACAUCAGGCAUUCUGUUAUUUCAGAAUCAAGGACGGGUGCAUGUGGGCCCCCAAGUGAUGGGUUUCCACUUCUUCCUCUCAUAAACCUGGUGGAUUUUCCUCCUCCGCCCUUGCACUCCUUCUCCUUUGUUUGUAUCAACACCUACCCCUUGAAAAUUCACCUUGUCCUCAAGGUGAAGUUCAGGAAACGAUUCCAUCAUCUUGUUGUGCAGAGGUUUCCACGAAUUUUCACAAGCUGGAAGACUCUUCAACUUCACUAACACUUCCAUGGUUUGUUCUGUUUCUCCUCCGACUGCUAAGACUUCUUCUGGUUGAACUUCGAGCUCCAAGUCUUCAGUCACAAAAGGGGAUAGUUGCUGGACAACAAUGUCAUCAGCCACCCUUGGUUUCAAUAAUGACACAUGAAACAUAGGGUGAACUCCGCUCCAAUUCUUUCCAUGAUCUCAUAAGGACCGUAGUACCUUGGGUUGAGCUUUUGAUUACUCUCUUAGCCAAUUUCUUCAACUUAUAGGGAUGUAUUUAAACUAUACCAUCCCACUUUAUACUCCACUUCCAUUCUAUUUUUUUAGCUUCCUGUCUCAUCCUAUCAUGAGCUUGCACCAAUUGGUCCUGUAAAAGCGCAAGUAUUUCAUUUCUCUCCAACAUUCCAGCCACCUCUUUCAUAAGGGUUGCUGGUACAUCACCUCGAACUACUAGAGGAGUGUCUCUUCCAUAUAAAGCCUUGAAUGGCGUCAGCUUAGUGGACUCAUGAUAGGUUGUAUUGUACCAAAAUUCAGCUCAAUCGAGCCAUUUAAGUCACUGUUUGGGUCUCACUCCUAUCAUGCACAUCAUAUAUGUUUUUAAGACAGCAAUUCACCACUUCAGUUUGUUCGUCUGUUUGUAGAUGAUAGGCAGAAUUGAACUUUAAUUUGAUUCCUGCUAACUUGAAUAACUCAGUCCAGAAAGAGCUCAUGAAGACCUUGUCCCUAUCUUACACAAUCAACUAAGGAAACCUGUGAAGCUUUACCACUUCCUUGAGGAACAGCUUAACAACUUCCUUGGCUGUGUAAGGAUGUGUCCGGGAAAGGAAGUGGGCAUAUUUAGUGAAAUGAUCUACUAUGACCAUCCUUGCCACCGGAUUUUGGUAACCCUCCAAUAAAAUACAUGGAGAUAUGUGAGCAAAUCUGUUUUGGAAACAGGUAGGGGUUGCAGCAGCCUUGCAGGGCUGAGGGUUUGAUACUUGUUUCUUUGACAUACCUCACAUUUCUUCACGUACUUUUGUAUGUUCUUUCGCAAUCCGUCCCAAAAAAGAAAACCUUGAGAUUCUUUUAUAAGUUCUAAAGAAACCUGAAUGCCCUCCUACAGCUGAAUCAUGAAAUUCCCUCAGGAUUGAAUUGAUUUUAAGGGACCCCUUUGGAAUAACCAGCCGACCUUGAUAGUACAACCUGCCCUGGUUUGUGUUAUACCCUGGAUGCUCUCCAUUCUUCACUGCUAGGUCUUGGAUUAUCUGCUUCAACCUUUCAUCCAGCUUAAUUUCUGCCUGAAGAUCUUCCCACUCCAAGAAUUUGACUGUGUGGAUGGCUGCAUAUUGCAUUCUUCUAGAAAGGACAUCAGCUGCUAUAUUUUCUUUCCUGCUUUAAUUUUGAAGUCAUACCCAAGCAACUUGGAGAUCCACUUAUUUUGUUCCUCCCCCAUCAGCCUUUGACCCUUAAGAUCGUCAUAACUUCUCUGAUCAGUAUGGAUUAUGAAAUGCCUCCCCAGUAGGUAAUGUCUCCAUUGCUGUACAGCCAUGACCACUGCCAUCAAUUCUUUUUCAUAAACUGACUUGUUCAAAUUCCUGUCAGAGUGUUUGGCUCAUGUACUAGUUGUCCUCCUUGCAAUAAAAUUGCACCGAGGCCGUGAUUGGGGAGGAACAAAAUAAGUGUCAUGGUUGUCUUUAGCUGUUCAAAAGCUUUUUGACCUGGUGCAUCCCACUGAAAGCUGUCUUUCUUCAGCUGUUGAGUCAAGGGCCAUCUUCCCAUACCACUCGACAAACUUUCUAUAAUAUCCUGUGAGGCCGAGAAAAUCUCUCAAUCCUCUCACAUCUUUAGGAAUUGGCCAAUCUACCAUAGCCAUUAUCUUGUUAGGAUCAGCAGCCACUCCUUGACCCGACACAUUAUGGCCUAAAUACUCAAUACUCCUUCCAAAAGGGCAUUUCUUUUUGUUCACCACCAGACUGUGUUGCCCUUAGAGCAUCCAGCACCCGUCGCACAUGCUCAUGAUGACAAUCUACACUCUUGCUUAAUCUUCUUCCCUCAUUCGUACUUGGUGAUACCACAAUUUUAGAUCCAGCUUAGUAAAGAUCUUACCUCCUCCUAGUUCAUCCAACAACUCAUUUAUGAUGGGUAUGGGGAACUUGUCUAGUAAGGUGAGCUUGUUUAAGGCCCUGCCGACACAAAACCACCAUCCUCCAUCUUUCUUCUUCACUAAAAUAAUUGGAGUACUAUAAGGGCUGGUGUGGGUCGUAUCGUAUUAUUCCUGCUACCAACAUUUCUUGCACAAACUUUUCAAUUUCAGUCUUUUGAUAAUAAGUAUUUCAUCACAGAGUUGGUCUGCUCUAGGCUCAACAACUGCUCGUUGUAUUUCAUCAGAGUUGGUCUGCUGUAGGCUCAACAACGGGCCAAAAGGAAUUUGUACCAGCCCUGGUUGAAGGUGACGAAUUAAUGCAUCUUUAAACUCCUCCCAACUGGUCGUUUGACUCUACUCUAUCCAUCAUUGAUACCAACUUAAAGCCUUAUCUUCCAAUGCUAUCACUGCAGUAUCCAAUUUUUCAUCAUCUUCUACUAGAUUGAGUUUGAAAUACCUUUCCGCCCGUACUAUCCAGCCAUAAGCAUUAUCUCCUAGAAAUAUAGGAAUUUGAAGUUUUUCCCCUCCAAAAUCGCAUGAGGAUUCAUGGCUACUAAUUCAUGUCGUGUGGCUAGCAUUGUCUUCACUCUCAAAUUCAUCAUCAGUGGCAUUGGACGUCGCCUCCCUUUUGUGCAAAGGACGGUUGUGAGGCCACCCCCUUCGUGACCUGCUGUGAGAGAUGAUAAGAUUUUUCAAAUCCACCAGUUGUUGCUCAAAUCCGUCUAUGUGCUGCUCCAUUGCUCAACGAGUCAGUACCCCACUCCCAAAAGCGAGUGAUCCGAUACCAAUUGUUAAGUAUCCUCAUAUAGAAACACAAGAAACAAGGAGAAAAUACUGUUUUCUAUAUUCAGUAAUUCUGAGUUCAUAUAAUUCAGAAUAAAGAACCAAAAUCAGAGAGAACGUAAGUCGCUCUGCCCUCCGAAAGUUCCCAGGUCUUCCUCCUUUUUUUCUCCAUGUAAUUCUCCCCUCACUCCCUUUAUUCCCUCUCUCCUCUAACGAAAAGAUACCCCCAUGAUCUCACACCUGCCACAUCAGCCAUUCUGUUAUUUCAGAAUCAAGGACGUGUGCAUGUGGGCCCCCAAGUGAUGGGUUUCCACUUCUUCCUCUCAUAAACCUAUUGGAUUUUCCUACUCUGCCCUUGCACUCCCUCUUCAUUCGUAUCAGUCACAUGACGCACAAAGUGCUAUUCAAACAGCCAUAAUUUUAAAAAAUCCAGAAUUACAGUCUAUUUUCUUAUGCUAUAACUUUUGCUUAGGAGUAAAGGUAUAAAGUGGUUUAUUGGAUUUGUAGUAUGAUAUUAAUAAGGCUAAACUUUUGAUCUUCCAAAUUAGGCACUGAAAAUACUUUUCAAUCAAGGACAAGUAAUAAAGUACCGAAGUUUGAUUAGUCCCUAUUUCUUUUGAUACCACAUUCAGCUCGAAUGGAGGACUACUUUUGGCAUAUGUUGUGAGUUUUCUUCCUUAUCCAGGGAAGGUACAUAUGUAGAGUAAGUUUGAUAGGUAUGACGAUAGUGGAGGCUCUGCUUGGUUUGCUUUUUGUGGGGGGUUUUUGAAGAAGUUUACUGCAUAGACUACUUCUAAACCAAAUAUUGAAGAGUUUUUCUUUAUAUUAUUGACUUCAUGUUCUCAUUUUCCCCUUUAUCAAUAUCUAUUUUCUGUUUUAUCUAUUUGCAUGUAUAUCCUGAACUCCGUGUUAUUCGUUAGUCCUGCCUUAUUAACAAUAUUUCCAUUUCUCUUAUAAUGAUUUGACUGUACUAUACAUAGAUAUCCAAAACUGAACACAAGUAAACUUUAUAAGCAGUUUUCUGAACAGAUAGUACAGGCUGUGCAAUUAAAGCAUGGAGUUAUGAAAUAAUACCAACCUCCCAAAUCUCUUUAUCUGAGUGCUCCUCAAGAGGAUCAAGAUUGCCUCUGAUGGUCCCUUCAAAUAAAGUUGGAUCUUGUGGGAUAAUACUGAGAUGGCUGCGAAGAUCAUGAAGGCCAAUCUCAGAAAUAUUUAUGUUGUCAAUAAGGAUACUUCCACUUGUUGGCUCAAUCAAUCGAAAUAGUGCCUGAAUUAAAGUAGAUUUUCCGCUGCCAGUACGUCCAACUAUUCCGAUCUUCUUUCCACCAGGAAAUGUGCAUGUUACUCCAUGAAGCACCAAAGGAAGGUUCUCCUUGUAACGGACCUUCAAAAGAGACAGUGUAAGGAUAAGAGAAGUGGAGAUCCAGUACUCGUGAUGGGACAAGGCCAAUUGCAGCACAAAAAUCAUAAUAAAGAUAUCAAUGUAACAUGUCUAAAAACUAGGAUUAGAUACUGUACAUAAAGAGACAUCAUACUAUUCAUCAAGAAAUAAACCAUAAAUAUUUGACUAGAAAAAAAGAAGACAAAAAGCAUAAAUGUGAAGCUGAGCUUGGAACCUUCAAAUCAAUUAUUUCGAUUGUCCCAUUUUCUGGCCAUGAGGAUGGAGGGCGAGAAUCUUCAAUUAUAGUGGGUGCUUCGCUAGGAAUUUGGCUGUACUGAUAUAUUCUCUCGAUGGAUAUAAUUUUAUUUUCAAGUUUGCAAAAGCUGAGUAUCCACCGUGAUAAGCGUGCAUUUAAAUUUAGUCCAUAUGUCACAGCAAGUCCAGCCAUGCCUAUAGAGGAAAGGUAACAGCAAUGAGAACAGAAUAAUAUUCCAUUAUCGCAUUCAGCAUCCUGUAUAACCAGCACUUGUGAAAUUAAAUCUAGUUUUUAAAAGCACUUACUGGGGUCUAUACUUCCUCGAGGAAAACUCACAACCAAUACCAUGCAGAAAGCAAAUACAAAGGUUGACAGUAACUCCAUCCGCAGGCAAAGCCACUCAAUUGCAGACAGACUACAAAAGAAUGGUCGUGCAAAACAAUCAAGAAGAUAGAGGUUCCGCUUCAUGAACCUUUUUUCUUGUCCAAAACCUCUGAUGGUGGAUGCUCCAGCAAUUGACUCACCAAAAAGAUGUAUAAUUGGAGACUUCUGGAUGCUAACAAUACGAACCAGUUCCCUGGAGGAUGCCAUGUAGUAUUUCUGCAAUGGAAUUGGUUGUUGGCUAGACUAAAUUAAAACAUAGGGUGAUAUACAAACAUUUAAAUAAUGCAAUGAGAUUGGAGAAUUACUAGAACUUUUUGACAAUGUACCCUCUCUUUUACUUGGAAUAAAAUUCUCACUUCUCUCAAAAAGAAAGCAGUUUUUUUUUUCUUUUAUGCAAAUGUUCUGGAAGAGCAGUUAGAAAGAUUUUAAGCUGGACAAAUUCUAAUUACCUGCAUCCACAAACAAGCAACAGCCAUUGGGACAACUAACAGUAAAACUUGCCACGUAACUUCUGUCAUUACCCCAACAAUACCAAUAAGUUGUAUUGUUGUUGAAGCAAACCCGCCAAGUCUAAAAGGAAUGUCAAGAUCCACAACACUUUGAUCAAUUGAUACCUGGUGGGAUAAAGGUGACACAUUAUAAUUAUCUACACCAAACAGAUAGAGAUGCAAUAAAAAAAAUAAAAUAGAAGAUGAGGACAAAAGAGAACUUACCCUAUUCAAGAUCCUUCCAGCCGGUGUAGAGUCAAAGAAAGACAUUGGUGCAUGGAAAACACUUCUAAGCAUUUUCAAAAAUAGCUUCUGUGCAGCUGCAAGGCCAAAUGUAGCCACCAGAACAGCCCUUACAAAUAUAAACCAUGAGCUGCCAAAAGCAAGGGCCAUGUAUACAAGAAGAAGAACGGAGGGAGUUACUUUGGGCAGGUCUCCUUCUGUUUGAGGGUUAGCCCAAGCCAUCCACCAAUUGCUAGCAAUCUGAAGGAACUGAAACAAUGCUUGUGCAAUGAUUAUGAGAGGAAUUAACAAGCCUUUAUAUGCGGCUGCCAUGUAUGACAAGUAGACCUUCAUGCUGACUCUGCCUCUAAUCCUCUCUUCUUCCUGAACAAGCUGUUUCUUUCUCGAUCGCUUUGCUUUCUUCUUCUCCUUAAUUGCUUUUUGAUCUGAAGUAGAAGCUCCUUCUUGCACUUCCUUUGCCAAACUGUCUAUAUCAUUUGCAGAACAUAUGGAUUUCUUACUGGUCAUAACAGAUGCUUCCAGAGAUAAAUUUUCAUCUGAAUCUUCAGAGGAGUGAACAGGGAUAUCCAUAGCCUCUAUGGCUUCAUGGUGGGCUGAAACCAGUGUAUUAAAAUCUGUUCCUGCUUGUAAAAGAUCGUCAUACUUUCCUGCCUGUAUGAUGCAGCCUUCUUUAAGCACCUUCAAGAAUAGAAAAAUAAAUUUAGAAAAAAAUCAUCUUAACAUCAUCAUAUAAGUUCUUUUCGGUACUUAAAACCUUGUUAAGAGAAGAAAAAACAGAAACUUCAUAUAACAUGAAACAUUUGAAUAGGAUUCUUCCUACAAAAAAGCUUCCAAGCGCUAAUUGCACUAGUUGCAAUGGGGCACUACCAUAAUUAUACUAUAAGAGAAAUUACAGCAAAAUGUGAUGUGUGUAGAAAACAGGAGUCAAGUGCACUUUGUUAUGAAGGAUUUUGUUAUAAUAUAUAUUAAGCUUUCACUUAAUUGUAGUCAUACUGAAACCAUCCUUUCUUGAAAUGUCAAAGCUUUUGCUAUUGCAAAUUUGAUUGGGAAUAUGAACGUAACAACUCAUGGGAUUGGUUAUAGGAUAGAGAUAACAUAAGUUGGACAGGCAUGGAAACCGAUAGGCUCACAAUAGAAAACUUGAAUCGAGUACUUCAAAUAAUAAACAAACAAGAGCACCCACAAAAGGGUUUCAUUGAAAGGGAAAAGGGGUCCAAUAUUUCAGAAAAGGAAAAGAAGGUCGUCAAAUUUUGAAGGACGCGGUAAAAAAAGGUCGUGUGAGUCAGAUUGUUAUUUGUUUUAAGUAAAAUAACUUCGGUCAUGGGAUUUAAUUGCAUCAGUGGAGGAUAUUUAAUUAUUCCUAGUGUCAAUGGAUUUUACCCUAUACAUGUUAUUUUUUAGAAGAAAUUUGUUAGCAAGUUAUGACUUGCCUUUCUUUUAAAAACACCAAAACGUGUAACUUGCAAAAUAUUCCUUCCAUAAAGAAGCGAGUAGGUGUACAAACUGACUUCAUGUAAAUUAAGAGAGAACUAUAAUGAAAAACGGGACAUCAAGAGGAAAACCUCACUUUGACAUACCAGAGGGCAUCUUAAAAACUGAAUCCUGAAUCGUGCAUCAUGCAGGGAAUACACAAUUCAAAAUUUAAGUGUGAAAUAAAGCAUUAUCAUAAACUUGGCCUCUUAUUGCAUGAUGCCCGAAUGUGCCCGAAAAAAUUGUACAACACAGCCAUACCAGUAUCAAAUCAGCCGCCGGAAGAAAUUCAACUUGAUGCGUCACAUAAAUGACUGUUUUAUCUGCUAGUGCUGUCAAUAUAUAAUCCUGCGGUACCAUGUCAAAGGGUAAGCCAUAUUCACAAUUUUAAACAGUACUAUCAACUGCGUGCUAAGGAAAACUAACCCUGAACAAGUCAGAUCCAGUGUGAGCGUCAACUGCACUGAAGGGAUCAUCAAGAAGAUAAAUAUCAGCAUCUUGGUAGAGUGCUCGUGCAAGCUGAACCCGCUGCUUCUGGCCACCACUCAGGUUUAUACCUCUAUCACCGAUAAUUGUCUGAUCACCGUGUGAGAAAAGUUCUAGGUCCUUUUUCAGUGAACAAGCUUGAAGAACAUUCUUGUACUUUGCUUUGUCCAUUGGGCUUCCAAAGAGGAUAUUUUCUUCUAUAGUUCCUGAUUGUAUCCAUGCUGAUUGGGAGACAUAUGCAGAAGAUCCACACACUCUGACCUGAAAAAUAAAUGAAUGCAUUUUGUAAAAAGUGUGAAAAAUUACAAAGAUUAAAAUGUCAACGGACAGAUUAAUAGAAUAAAGAGGGAAUCAAAAGCUCAAGGGCACCAACAUACUUCCCCAGAAGUCUUAGGAAUUUCUCCAAGGAUGCAAGACAGAAAGCUUGAUUUCCCAGAACCAACCAUGCCACAAACAGCCACGCGCAUCCGUUUUUCAACUUUCAUACUUAUCCCUGAUAGAGUAGGUCUGGAAGAUGAAAGGUCCCAACAGAAGACACCAUCCUUAAUUUCUAUAGCAAUGUUAGUGAUGCCUUGUGGCAAGGAAAUAGUUGCAUCUUCCUGCAAUUCUUCCUCCAGAAGGAAGCCAGAUAACCGAUCAAGAGAAACUUUUGUUUGAGCCAUUGUUGACACCAAGUCUGGAAAAUUCCUCAAAGGUUCUUGCAGGAUCCUGAAAGUAGCCAGAGCAGAAAGUACACCCCCAGCAGUCAGCUGACCACCCAACAAUAUGCAAGUACCAAAAGUGACUGCUGAAACAAAAAUCGGAGAGCUCCAGAAUAUAAAAGUUAUGAAAGCCUGAGAAUAGAGGGCUUUCCGAAGCCACUUGAAUUCUACUCCACGCAUAUCCUCCAGUUUCACUCUAUAUCUGUCUUCCCAAGCUUGAAGUUUGAGAAUCCUCAUAUUCCUCAGGCACUCAGAUGUUUUUCUCAUCCUCUCAUCCUUAGCAGCCAUUAAUCUGUCUUGAUAAUCUUCUUGGAUCCUGGCCACGGGAACAGUGACGACAAUGGAAAUUAUUGUAGCAAUCAGCGUUGCAAUAGAGGCAAUUCCAACAUUCUUAUACAAAAUUGCCAGGGCAAGAACAAUCUGGAGAGGAAGCAUCCACAUGUCAUGGAGAUACCAAGAGUAGUCCCCAACCCUCUGAACAUCAAUAGCCAUGUAGUUAACAAUUUCCCCACUUGUGUGACUUUGCUUGGCCAAGCUUGAUAUCCUUAAACCCUUUCGAUAUACCAUUGCAGUUAGAGCCGACCUAACAUGCAUACCCAUGAUGUCCACCCCUAGAUACCACUGCCUGGUGGUCAUGGUCUCCACAAGCUUAGCCGCAAAGAAUAUCCCUGCAAGAACAUACCCCUCAUGUGGGAAAAUCUCUUUGCCAACUAAGAAAUCAACAAAAUAACUUAUCAUGUAUGGACCAACGUACGAAACUAGAGUGGUUACACCAGCAAAUAUGGCAUUACAAGCCGCCUCCUUCCAAAAUGACUUGAGAAGCGCCCAUGCUAACGAAGGCUGCCCGGAUGAUGAGGUUUCUGCCUUCAAUUUCUCCCAAUUAGAAUUCACAAGCUUAUAGUUUGUUUUGGAUCGGUCAUUAGGUGCAACAAGGGGAAUGUCCUUAAGCUCAAGAGGUCUUUUUGCACCGAUGGAAAGAAGGGGAUUCAACCAAGACAAAGUGGCCAAGCUAAAAAGUCCAGCAUCAUUAUAGGGAGUAACCUUAAGACAGCCCGGUUCUUCCUCAACAAGCAAUGGUUGUUGCUCAUCAGAAGUCCUACAUAUCUUUACACCAGUAACACCCCUGAUUGCAACAAUACACAAAAAGCCAAGAGCAGGAGUGACCGCAAAAUUCGCCACAACAUGAGAACGCAGGUGCUUGGAACCUUCCAUCCAAACCCCUCUCCCAUCAACGUACAAACCACACAAACAAACAACAAAUAACACAAACCACCAAACUCUGAGCAAAUUUGGAAACCUCUCACGCGCCUUGAACUUGCACUGCAAAGCCGAGAAGCAAAGAGCAACCCAAGCUAAACCCUGCACUAGAGGCACAGAAAGAAGAGCCAAACCCAAAUCCUCAUCCCUUUCUCUAAUCAAGGCAAACCCAUCAAACCCCACCACCAAAACUUGCACCAACAAAACAUAGAAACAAGACAACACCGACAACUUGAACCACGUUCCAAUCCGAACGUCACGUGUUUCUAAAUCAACACUAUCAAGGCCGCGGCUGGCAUUGCCGGUUCCAUUGUCCUUACCAAAUCUAACUCCACCCCCUAAACAAACAACCACCCUCCUCGCCAAAAGAACGAAAACAAACACAAUAAACAGUGUCAAGUUGGCACAGAUUGCCACCACUUCCACCCAAGGCAAUCCAAGGAUCGCACUCCAAAGACUCUCAAACGAUCCAGAAGAAGAAGAAUAAGAAAACGACGUCGGAGAAGAGAUUCCAAUUUCAUCGACGGCCAUUGCAGUGUGAAGCAAAACGUGGAUUCGGAAGAGAGAGUCGGUGAUGAUUGAGAAGUUUCUAAACUUGUGAUGAUGUCAUCGAAACGUGAGUGAUUGAAAAAAGGGCAUUUCACCAUCUGGUGGCAGAUUCUGCAGACACAUUGUAGCGCAAACAAAGAUAAUUUCGUCAGCACGGAACCCGAAGAGAAACAGAGGAAUAUCAUACAAAAACAGCAGAACCUCUUAGUUCUCAAACAUUCCAAAUUCAGACAGGGACAACAAAAAUGGGAAUCGAGAAUCUGAUAGACGAAGAGAAAGAAAAAAAACAACAAAAAAAAGACCUGGGUUGGUCUCAGAAAUCGCUUGUGAUCUUCGAAAAGCUACAACCUUUGAAGAAUAUCGCACCUGGGUGAGAAGAUAAAUAGAAGACCUCGGCAAUACAGAGAACGACAAGGACAGUGACGGUGAAGAUAAUGAUUAAGAUAGAAGGAACAGCUACGAAAUAAGUACAACAAUGUCUUACGGAGAGAGAGACAGAGAGAGAAGUGAAUCUCUCUCUUCUGCUCUCUUUAAUAUUCUGUUAUUUUCCCUUUUAACUAUGCUUCCCUCUCUGUGUGAAUGAUGCUGGCAAUCAUAAAAGUGCCGUGCGAGAAUGAACAACUUUUGUUUUCUAUUUUAGGUUUCAGAAAAUGGAAGAUUUGGUGUUUAGCUCAAUCAAAAUGGAAAUCCUUUUUCGCUUUAAUAGGAAUCCUGUUAUACAGAUUUUAGCUCACAGUCACUCAGGCCUCCAUACCUAUCAACUUAUAUACUACUCUGUCUUUCAUUAUUUUAACAAUAUUACAAAUUAUAACAAAAUUAUAUUUUCACCACUCAUUUACUACAAUUUCAUUACUUUUUUUAUUUUUAACUGAUUUACCAUCUUUGAUACACCAGAUAUUUACUAUUUAUAAUCGUUUAACAAGAUUUUUUCUUUUUUUUGCCUGUAAUUAAAAAUCAAAAUUAGACAUUCUUUAAAUAUGUGAGAAAAAGAUUCGCUCUCUGUGUAGUUUAUUGAAAGAGUGCAAUGAAUAAAAAACACUAGCCAAUGGUCUUGAGAUUGGAGCACUUCUUUUUAAAAAUACCACUUUUAGGUACCUAUUUUUCUUAGUGGUGUGUCUGUGAUGUUCAUCUAGUGCUUUCUUUUUUAAGAAAAAUAAAAUUUUUAAUAAUGUGGUGAUAUUUUUGUAAUAAUAAUACUUUAAUAAUAAUAUUUUAUCAUGAUCGAUUUAAAAUUAUUUUAUAAUAAUAAUAAUAAAUAUUAAUAUAUAUCAAUUAUAUAGUAUUAAAAUAUUAUUAAUAAAAUGUUGUCAAAAUAUUAUUAUCUUGUACGAACGUAAUAAUGUCGUUUUCGUUUCUUAUUACUAUAUUUAAAUAAUUUUACACAUUAUUUGACAUUAUUAAAUAAUUGUUGUUAUUUUCUGUAUUUAAAUGAUUUCAAAUUAUUUUUUUUUAUUUCAUAUAUUCAGUUUAAAAAAAAUUAAAUUUAUUUAUAAAAGAUAUGUUUUGAUUCAUUACUGAAAUUAAAACUUUGGUUUAAUGUGCUUUUUAUUUUCAAACAUAUCUCUUUUUUUUGUCUCACGAAAAUAAGAUAUGUACGUUAAAUUGAGAUGACGUCGUUAAGAAGAGUAUAUUGACCGUAUAGUUUUUUAUUACAUGGCAUUGAAAAUAUGAUUGAAUUGUAUUUUUUUAAUUUUUGAAUUAAAAAAUGAAAUAUAUGUAUAUUUCAUUUUUUAAUUCAAAAAUUAAAAAAAUACAAUUCAGUCAUUAAUGCCACGUAAUAAAAAACUACACUGUUAACAUACCCUUUUUAACAGCAUUGGAAAGAUCCUAUUUAGUUCAAUUUGACAAGAAUAAGAACUCAAUUGAAACAUGAAAAAGAAAAAGACUAUUUGAAAUUCUGGACAAAAAUAAAAACUUCUUCAGACAUUAAACGUAAAACUUUUUGUUUUCUAUCAGUUAUAGAUAUACUUCGAUUAAAAAGUGAAAUAAAAAUUUUAAAAAAAUCGAAAUUAAAUCUCAUCCUUGUAUGGUAAAUAUAGUAAAUAGGAGAGAAUAUGAAGAACGUUUUGUGUUUAGUUUUUUCUACAUAAAGACCAUUACAAGUUGAUGCACGUUUUUUACAUGUUAGAUUCACAUUUUUGUCUUGAUUUUUAGGUCAUGAUCAGCAUGUCAGAGUUUCUACCCUUUUCAUAUAAUUACUUCUCAUGUUUUUCUAUACCAUUUUGUAAUUGAAUUACAUAUCAAUUGUUAUUUUUAAAUACUUUUAAUUAAAUAUUUAAGAUGGAUUAUAAAAAUUCUCUAAUAAUUUUAUUUGAAGAUAUAUGAAGCCUCCAAAUAGAGUUACGUGAAAAAUGAUUGUUUCCUUUUACACCUUGAACUUUAUGAAAAGAAAUUGGAUUUUUGCUUUGCUUUUUUGAGGAUUUGAGAGUUGGUAGAACUUUUGAGGAAUAAUAUCCAUAAGUAAUUAUUAUCAUCAUAUAUAAAGCUGGUGAUUUCACAUCAAAUCAUAAUAAAUGAUUUUGGAAAAUUUAAAAUAAUAUUUAAAUUAGGAAAAAAUCUAUACAAAAUUUUGUUUUUUAUGAAUAAAGUUAAUUUUUUAAUAAUAUAUUAAUAAAAACUAUUUUUUAUUAAUAUAAGAAACAGUGAAAUUCAUAAUUCAUGUCAGAAGUAUGAAGUUACUUUCGAAAUCUAAAAAACUUACUGAUUAAUCACAUUAUAAUGUAUAAAUAGAAUAUAAGUAAAUGUGUGAGGUUGAGCAAAAUGUAAAUUAUUAAUUAAUAUAACAUUAAUAAUUUUAAAUGUAUCUUAAUUUCAUUUUAUGUUAUCAUGUUACGUGUAACCAAACUUUUAUUUAACCACUUACAAACAUCAAAUAUCUAAUUCAAAAUUCCUGAAUAUAAAAGAUAUUUUAAAGAUUUUACACAAACUAAAAAUAUAAAAUAUAAAAGAGUAGAAUGCAAUAUGUUACUAAUCAACUUCUAUUUCUUAUUGUAUAUUUGACCGGAGGAAAAAAAAAAGAGAAAUUUAAAAUAAUUUAAUUAGUUAAAAUUUAUUUUGUUUUAUGUUAUUAUCAAAUAAUUAAAAAAUUAUUCUAUAUAUUUAUACUUACAUUUUCUACUGUCCGAGCAAUGACAGCUAAUUCUGACAUGUUAUAAAUUCUCAUUUAUAUUAUAUUUAUUGGUAAAAACUCGUAUUGAGAAUUACUAUCUUUUUUAUUAAUCUUAUUUACAUUUUCAAAAAAAUGAUUACUUUUUAUAUAAUCUCAUCUACAGUUUCUAAAUAUGGUAGAAGAAAAUCUGAGUGCAACUUACUCUUUAAAACGAGUGUUAAUUCUUUAAAACAAAGGUUCAUAAUUUCUGUUGAUUGAUUUUCUUAUAAAUAUCUAAAGCAUUUUUUUGUAUGAUAAAAUCAAUUAUUUCUUAUAUCAAUCAAUUCCCUUAAAGAGAAAAUGAUAAAUUCAAUUACAUGAAUUACAUUAUUUCAUGAUGAUUGUUAUCAUUGAUUUUAUUUUUCACUUUUGUAUUUUGUCAAUUUAUUCAUAUUACGCGAGUCCAUUAAAGAAACUAAAUAAUGACCUGUAAAAACGAAGAUAACUUAUAGAAAAGGACAAAGCUAAAAUCAUAUUUCAAAAUAUGAAUAUGGCAAUACAUCUUUUUAAUAUUUAUUUUACGAGCAACACGCUAUUACUUUAUUAAGAAUUAAAUAAACUGGUAAAAAGAGUAAAGAAAAUUGAUAAUAAAAUACAUGUAAAAAAGGUAAAUAGUAAAAAUGAGUAGGGUGAAUUUUACAUGUACAUCAAAUGUAAUUAGAAUUCAGAAAAAAUGUUAGGAAGAUGCAUGAAUGAAUAAACUAUAGUUAGGUUAUUUUUUUUCCUAUAUGGCUGUAAUAAUUCCAUUGACUUUAAUGAAGACUUUUUCAGCUUAUGGACCCAUCUUAUUGCACAUGAUUGUGAAGUUUAUCCAGAAAAGGCAAAAGGACAGUAAUAAUUAAUAAUAUGAAAAGUUUGCCUCAAAAGUGAAAUCUUUUGAAUGUGAUCACUUCGAUUAAUAACUAUAUAAAUGAAUAAGUAAUAAGAUAUUUGGAAUUGAGUGUAAAUUUGACAUUUUCAUUAAUUAUAUCCUUUUAUAAUUUCUUUUAAUCUCUCCUUUUAUAUCUUUUUUAUUUUUUCUUAGAAAAUCAUCAAUCAUAAUUUUUCUUCCUUAUAAGAAAUAUUUGUUGACAUGGUUAAAUUUUCUUAUAUUUAUUUGAUAUCAUUUUUAUUUAUCUUUUACUCAUUUAAAAAAAUAUAAAAAUUUACACUUUUUAACUAUUUUAGUUUUAUAUAUGUGUAAAAGUAUGAUUUAAUACUUAUUAUUCUAAACCUAUUAAAAGAGAUAUUGAUGUUUUAUUAAAAGGGUUUUACUAUAAAAUUAUACAUGAUUCUUUUUAAUUCAACCUACCUAUUUACCUUUUUAUUUUGUCCCAUUUGAGGAAAAAACAUUUUAAAAUUGAUAGUAACAAAUAUUUUAUAUUAAGCUAAACCAUACUUUCAAAACUACUAAACCUAACCUAAAAGUACAAGUCUUUAAUUAGUAAUAUAAACAAACUUCCACCUUAAAUGUUUAAACAAAUCAAGCUAAGUUCUUUUCUUUUUUUAUGAAACUCAUCUACCCCUAUCUCUCACUUUCUCAACCAACAGUAUAACCUAACAUUUAUUAAAGCUAAACUUUAUAAAUAAACAGUUAAAAUUAUUUAUUUUUUAAUAUAUUGAAUAAGAUUGGAGAGUGAAAAAUGUGAUAAAUUUCCAAUAAUGGUAGGAUAUGUGUUAGGAGAUUAUUGCUAAUGUUUCUCCAAUGUAUGUGUAAUGUUAAAUGACUAUGUAUUCACCAAACACAGAAAUUUAUUUUUGCAUCAUUUAGUUUGGGAAAUAAUUUGAAGUUUUAACUAAACAUUCAAAAAGAGAAGUUUGUCACUCACUGAUAGAGUUAUAGACAACUCCAUUAUGAUUUUCUCUUGGAAAAAUUCCUUUAGUUUACUAAAAAAUAAAAAAUAAAUCAUCACAUGAUAGCUUCAAUUACAUCUUAGAAAAGAAGAGGAUCCACCCAACAUUCUAACCUAACAUAUGUUUUCACCCAUCUAACCUAAUAAUUACAGAACCUAAUAUUUUUCAUUUUAUAAAGUAGAUAUUUAAUUUUUAUUUAGUUUUUAAAAAUAAAUAUUUCGAUAUUAUAUUUAGUUUUAUGAAAAAAAAAAUAUUUUUAAAACAAUAUUAUUUGGUUUGGUAAAAUUAGUGUUGAUUUUCUUUAUUGGUUUUGUUAAAUAAUAUUCUUAUUAUAAAUUAUCUUUAUUUUAAUGCAUUUUUAUGGAAUAAAUAUUUGAAAUUAUUUUUUUGAAAUAAUAUUUUCUUUUAUAUGUACAUAUUUAAAAUUUUUUAUUUUGGAUAUGAUUUUUUUUCUUUUAUAAAUAAAAACUAAAAUAAUAAAUUUAUGUCUAAAAUAAUACGAUGGCCCAAACUCCUACGGGAGGCAGCAGUGGGNAAUUUUCCGCAAUGGGCGAAAGCCUGACGGAGUAAUGCCGUGUGAAGGUAGAAGGUUUCCGGGUCAUGAACUUCUUUUCCUGGAGAAUAAGCAAUGACGAUAUCCGGAGAAUAAGCAUCGGCUAACUCUGUGCCAGCAGUCGCGGUAAGACAAAGGAUGCAAGCGUUAUCCGGAAUGAUUGGGCUUAAAGCGUCUGUAGGUGACUUUUUAAGUUUAUCGUCAAAUCUCAAAACUCAACCCUGAACAGGCCAUAAAAUAAAUUACAAAUAAAAUUUAACAGAACUCACACGCACGCGUUUGUCUACACGCUUCCACUCAACCACACACGCACAUCCACGCACGCAUCCACACACAUGCACUCCCACACAUACGUACACACAUGCACACAUCAUCCACACACUCACACACGUGUGUACCCACACACAUCCACCCCACCUACACACAUAUAUGUGCAUGUGCGUGCACACACAUAAAAACACUCAUCAAAAUAUUAUAAUUAUAGAUAACAUAAUGUAAUUUAAAAAUAUAACGUUAAAAACCAUCCCAUUAAACACCUAUAAUUAUAAAAUAACGUUUUAUCAAGUAAUUACAAUUAUAAAAUAAAUAAAAUUAAAAAUAAUGAAUGUUUUCUUUCUUUCAUCUUAGUCAUGACAAUGACAUAUUAAAAUUAAUACUAAAAAUUAUUUUGAGAGGGAAAAAUUUCUUAGAAUAUAUUCUACUCAUUCUUUUGAUUGUCACGCUACUAAAAGAAAAUCAUCUUACCCAUCAUAAAAACAAUCGCUAAAUAAUAAAAUUGAUCAUGAAUAUUUUUAGCCAUAAAAAAUAAAUAGUGAUGAAAACUCUGGUCACAAAACAAUUGGCCACUGAUUUCAAAAAUAGUGGCUAAACAACCAUCAAAAUUAUAAUCAAUCACUAAAAAUUUGGUCACCUUAAUUUAGUAAAUAAAAUUUCGUUCUUUAAUUUGGUCGCUAAUAAGAAUGAAUAUUAAUUUAAUAAAAUGAUUUUCGAAAGUCACAAAUAGAUACAUCUUUUAAUUUAAUUAAAAUAGUAUGGAUAAUUAAAUUAAAGGCUGCAUCAGUGACAAAAUUGAUGGCUAAAGUAGUGACUAAAUCAGUGAAAAUAAUAAUAAAGUCCAAAUAUAAUAUUGUAGUAAAAAGUAGUGUAAUACAUGCUCCAAUAUAAAACCAAAAUCAAAAUGAAAUUAGUUCUAAAUCCAUGUACAAAUUUUAAAAUCAUCAUACAAUUAAAAUUAACCAAUGUUCAUGUGAAUUACCAUCACUAAAACGACUUAUUACAUCAUCAACAGGCGUAAUACAUAAUUACUGAAAAACAAAUAAAAGAAAGUAAAACGACUAUUAUAGAAACACGAGAAAUUUUCUACGUAUAUUUUAAUUCUAACAGGUGAAGUUAAUUUAAAAUUAAAAAAAUGAAAAAUAAAAUAAAAUCAUUUUUAAAUACAAUAAAAAAUAAAAAAAGAAAAAUCGAUUCAUAUCAGUUGAACCUUGAAGGAUUGAAUUGACUUUGGCUAGUUAAGAAAUAAGUGAAAGAUUUGACGCGUAGGUCCAUGAUAAGGUCGUAGAUAUGAACAGAGAUAGAUCAUUUAAGAGACGAGAUUGUUCAUAAUUUUGGGGCUCUGUCACCCUUCAGUGGGGUACAAUAAUAAAUAAUUAGAUGGAAUGCUUCAUAUAAAAUGUUAAAUAAUAAAUAGAAUAAUAAUAUUCUUAAGACUAAAUAUGUUAUAUAUAAGUAAUAUGAAUUCAAAGAUAAGUUCAAAAUAAUAAAACUAAUAAUACAAAGUGAAAAUAAAAAAAGCUAGACUCGUAAUACUUUAAAUUAGAACGUUAAAAUAAUUCAAACAUUUGACAAAUAUAAGCUAAUUAAUAUAAUAUUCAAAGCUAAUAUAUCUUAAAUAUUUAAUUAUGAAGAAGAUUUGGACUUCACGCGAAAACAAAUAAAGUCAAUUAUUUAUCAAUUAUACUAAUAAACAAGACAUCAAGCGAGCAACUCGAUUUGAUUGAGAUUCUUUUUUUUCUUUUUAUCGAUAAUGACAUUCCACUGCCAAACAUGCCUAUUAUUUUUGGCACAAUCGAUAAUGAGAAAAAUUAGAUGUUUAUCCAUUUACGUUUGUCUCCUUGAAAGUAUGAGAAUUGAGAAAACAGUCCCUCAAUUAGAGAUAAAUGAAGAAAAAAACAACUAAAUUGAUUUUUUUUUAUGACCAGAACAACCUUAUAUAUCUCAGUAUAAAAUAUGUAUAAAGAAAUGAAUAAUAUAUAUAUUAUAAAAUAAAACAACAGGUCCCAUGGUCUAGUGGUUAGGACAUUGGACUCUGAAUCCAGUAACCCGAGUUCAAAUCUCGGUGGGACCUUAUAUUUUAAUGUUUUAAAAUAAAAAUUUUUCUUUUUUUCAAAUAUUAAGUUUUUAUCUUUCAUGAAAAUAUAGUCCUAUAAUAAAUUCAUUAAGGUCAUAUCUCAUAGAAAUAUGUACCCAUAUGAUUGAGAAGCUUUGCAUUCACUUCACAUUAAUGGUGAGUUUGAAAUUUCAGAGAUAACAGGUAGCAGAAAAUUUCUUAGGUUGGUACGGACGUAAACAGUUCAGUACUCACCUAUUUAACUUACUAGGUCCCAACAAAAUUAAAUGCUUAUUAUUUUCCUUUUUUUAUUAUCAAAAAAUAAGGUUGAACAUCCUAGAAGAGUCUUUCUAGCAUAUGGGAUGCUGUUUUAUGAUGUCCAUAGUCUUCCAGAAGGAAUAACUUCAGUCUGUUGUAUGUAUAUCAUAACAUGUCAUGUUGUAUGUUCAAAUUAUAAUAAUGAGUUAUAUUAUGCAUAUAAUUGAGUGUUUCAAUCAUUUAAAUUAGGACAAAUAACAUUGAGAUAUCAAUGGAAAACUUCCCAUUAAUUUCGACUAAAAAGGGCUUUAGAAAGUUUCAUAGAAAAAAUAAAAUCAAUGGUAUUCCCAAAUAAAGCCCCUACCAAUAUCAAUUGAGGAAUAUUGACUUGUGUUGAAAAUAAAUAUAUUGACAACAAUGAUUACAAACAAUCACAAUGGAUUUAACAUGAAAAAAAUAAUUAUCUUGAUAUUGAACUGACAAUGUUUAGACUGGACUUAUACAGGAGAGAAAAUAUUGAAAUAAAAUACACAAAUUUAAAAGAGAAAAGAUUAUUAAAAAAAUUAAAUUAUUAAUUUUAAAUAAACAUUAUAAUGAUAUAAAUUUAAUUAAUUAAAUUACUCUUUUAAAUUUUAUUUUAUUUAAAUUUUUUAUACUAAAAUCACGUUUUUUUCAAAAAAAAACAUUUUUAAAUUUUUCAUGAAAAUAAAAUAUUAUUUUAAAAAAUUUCAUCCAUACACCUAUUUUAAAAACUUAAAAAAUAGAAUAUUAAUGUUGAUAAAUAUUUUAAAAUAAUGAGACUGAAUAUUUUAAUGUUGAAAUAAUUCAAUAAUAUAAAUAGAAUUUCAUAAAUACGUUUCAUUAUCUAAAACAUUCAUAAUUUUUUUAAAACUUGUUCUCUAAAUUCCUUUCUCCCCUUUCUAUGACUCAUGACUCUUGACUCAUCUAUUUUAACGAUCAUGAAGUAUUAAGAGAUCUUGGCGAUGAAUUCUUCAUUCUCUACCGAUCGAUUUUUCUGAUAGAACAAGUAAGUUUUUAUUCAUUUUUCUUUAAUUCCUGGUUUAAGACACAUGCAACUAGAAUUUUUCUACUCUAUUUUUCUAGCUCUUUGUCGAUUUGUGGUCCUAAGGACUUAGUUUGAUCAUAAUACCGUGGUCUGUAGGCAUUUUUAGAGUUUCCCAAGUUAAGAUAAUGAUAACACGCUAUAUAGAAUUGUGGUAAUUUUCAUCCUUGGGUAAGGAAAGCUAGUGAUUGUCUUUAAUUGUAUUAUGAAAUACGAAAUGAUAGUUGUUAGUAUGUGAGGUUAAUGUAUGUUGGUUUGUUAUGCUUGAAAUGAUUGUUUUAGUAUUAAGUGUGUUUGGAUGAAUGUGUUUGGUUGAAUGAUGCUUGUUGACAUUGAUGAUUCUUCUUAGACUUGAUUGUUAUCAUGAAUGUUGUUGUUGUGAAGUUUAGUGAUAUCAAAUUUGUUGUAAUGUUGAGAAGAAAUGAUUAGGCAGAAUUAUAGGUCACUUUUUUGUCUAAAAAGGAGAUUUUGAUAGGCGAGUUUUAAAAGUAACGGUAAAAGGGGAGAAAUUGUAUUUUGGGAUAUGUUGUAUGCUCAUUUGAAACUUAUUUGAGCUUUGAGUUAAUAUAAAUUCAAUAUAUAAAUGGGUGGUAGUUAAUAGGUUGGUUUUGGAAGGUUUAGGUCCAAUUUUAGUGGUUUUGACUAGUGAGAUCCUAAAGUAGUAGGUUUGUGCUAAAGUAAAGGGUUUGAGGUAUGUUAUUGGAUAGUUAUAAAGGCCACUGAGGCUAAAAAUAGAGGUUUUCACUCUUCUGGUGCGACAUUUAGCGGCAAUCAACGGAGCCUGAGCGUUAAUGUGAGGAAUGACACUCAGUGGCGAGGAUGUGUCGCUUGGUACUAGUGUCCUUUGCUUUCACUCUUUGCUAUUUCAUUCUUUGGCUUUUGUGGUUUCUCUUAAGGGUUGGUUGAUAAAUAAUGACAUGUUUAAUAUGUUUUAUGAAAUGUUAUUAAGGAUUAUGAAUGAUGUUAAGGUAUGUAUCAAGGUGUGAUUGAAUAAGAGUUUCUAAGCAGAAAUUUUAAGUGGUUGUUUCAAGUUAUGUAUGAAUGUAGAAACUUAGUCUUGGGGGUUAUCCUAAUACUCUAAUGGUCAUUCAUUCUCAAUUAGAGAGUAGUGAUGCAUGUGGUGGAAAUAACAAGAGAUACCAGUCUAGGUGCUCCAUUAUGGCAUAAGACACGAAACAAACUAAUCUUGUGUGUGUAAUAGGAUGAAACCCAUUGGUAAUGGCUUUGCAGAGCAGUAGAGACUGUCACAAAUGCAUGAUUCGCCAUAGCUUGACAUUCAUACUAUAUUUGGAUGGCCAGGUCUAGGUAAAUGUUAUGUUUAGGAUGCUUGUUUAAUUUGGUAUGAAAUGUGAUAUAUGAUGAAUUAUAUUAUCUUGAAUUUUUUUCUUUUUAACAUUAGCUUACCCUUUAUGUGUUUGUUUGUUUAUGUAUGAAUAAUUUCUUUUUCAACGAUCACUUAGUUAGUGUGAGUAAGGGGUGAUGAGUUGAGCAAGUUCUGGAAGGCGAUGAAUGUAUAUCUAGAUUAGAAUAUAUGGUUUUGUAUAAAUGUAUUUUGAGAAACCUUACGUAAAUGUUUGGAUUCCUUCUCUUUUAGUAUUUUAAAUAUAUAAUAGACUUAAAGUUAUGUUAAAUAACUGUACGAAUAUUUUAUGUUUUCUUAAAUUUAACUAUUACUUUAUAUUAUUUUGUAAUAGUUUCAUAAUAGUAUUUAUACUAUUUAGAUGAGAUAUUACACAUACUAUAACAAUAAACUAAAUUUUAUCUCUACUUUCUAAUUUUCUAUAAACUAUAUAUAUAUAUAUAUAUAUAUAUAUAUAUAUAUAUAUAUAUAUAUAUAUAUAUAUAUAUAUAUAUAUAUAUGAGGUUUGCUAAUUUACAUAGUUGGUACAUUUUAGCAAAGUGUACCAAGUUUUAGGUUACAAAAAUAUCGCUGUUAAAAAAGAAAACAACAUUUAAAUCCAAGAGUAUUUUAAUAAUUUUAAAAUUUAAUUUAAAAUAAAAACAAUAAAAGGUAGUUAUUAAAAAUCCUGUCCACGAGAGAAGUUAUUAAUUUUUAUUAUAUAUUUUUUAAAAUAAAAAAUAAAAUAAAUUGUUUUUUUAACCUAUACGAGUUUUAUAAACCCAGACGGGUUCUAUAAACCCUAAACCCUAGGUAGUUGUUUUUUUAACCCAGAUGGGUUUUAUAAACCCAGACGGGUUCUAUAAACCCUAACCCUAGGUAGUUGUUUUUUUAACCCAAACGAGUUUUAUAAACCCAUACGGGUUCUACAAACCCAUACGAGUUCUAUAAACCCUAAACCCUAAACCAUUAUAUUUUUUAAAAGGUAGUUGUUUUUUAAAAUAAAAAAAUAAAAUAAAAGGUAAUUGUUUUUUAAAAUUAAAAAUAAAAUAAAAGCUAAUAACUUUUCUCGUGGACCAAUCACAAUUUUUAAUGACUACAUUUUAUUUUUUAUUUUAAAUUAAAUUUUAAAAUUAUUAAAAUACCAUUGGAUUUAAAGUUGGUUUUCUUUUUUAACAGGAAAAUUUUUAUAACCUAAAAUUUGGUACACUUUGCUAAAAUGUAUCACCUAAAAAAUCUCCUUACGUAAAUUAGCAUAUAUAUAUAUAUAUAUAUAUAUAUAUAUAUAUAUAUAUAUAUAUAUAUGGGGUUUGCUAACUUGAAAAACAAAAAUGUGAAUAUAAAAUGGUAAAUNNNNNNNNNNNNNNNNNNNNNNNNNNNNNNNNNNNNNNNNNNNNNNNNNNNNNNNNNNNNNNNNNNNNNNNNNNNNNNNNNNNNNNNNNNNNNNNNNNNNNNNNNNNNNNNNNNNNNNNNNNNNNNNNNNNNNNNNNNNNNNNNNNNNNNNNNNNNNNNNNNNNNNNNNNNNNNNNNNNNNNNNNNNNNNNNNNNNNNNNNNNNNNNNNNNNNNNNNNNNNNNNNNNNNNNNNNNNNNNNNNNNNNNNNNNNNNNNNNNNNNNNNNNNNNNNNNNNNNNNNNNNNNNNNNNNNNNNNNNNNNNNNNNNNNNNNNNNNNNNNNNNNNNNNNNNNNNNNNNNNNNNNNNNNNNNNNNNNNNNNNNNNNNNNNNNNNNNNNNNNNNNNNNNNNNNNNNNNNNNNNNNNNNNNNNNNNNNNNNNNNNNNNNNNNNNNNNNNNNNNNNNNNNNNNNNNNNNNNNNNNNNNNNNNNNNNNNNNNNNNNNNNNNNNNNNNNNNNNNNNNNNNNNNNNNNNNNNNNNNNNNNNNNNNNNNNNNNNNNNNNNNNNNNNNNNNNNNNNNNNNNNNNNNNNNNNNNNNNNNNNNNNNNNNNNNNNNNNNNNNNNNNNNNNNNNNNNNNNNNNNNNNNNNNNNNNNNNNNNNNNNNNNNNNNNNNNNNNNNNNNNNNNNNNNNNNNNNNNNNNNNNNNNNNNNNNNNNNNNNNNNNNNNNNNNNNNNNNNNNNNNNNNNNNNNNNNNNNNNNNNNNNNNNNNNNNNNNNNNNNNNNNNNNNNNNNNNNNNNNNNNNNNNNNNNNNNNNNNNNNNNNNNNNNNNNNNNNNNNNNNNNNNNNNNNNNNNNNNNNNNNNNNNNNNNNNNNNNNNNNNNNNNNNNNNNNNNNNNNNNNNNNNNNNNNNNNNNNNNNNNNNNNNNNNNNNNNNNNNNNNNNNGAAUGAGAGAGGUGAGUAAGGGUUUGGGGGUUUCUUUUUUUAUUUUUUUUAAUUUUGAGAAUGAAAAUUAUUAAAAUAUCCUUAACCUUAAAACUUAGAAUUCAUUAUAUAAGGGUAUUUUUGUCUACUGAAAC